rnacentral:rRNA from 1 species
GCAAGUCGAGGGGUAACAUUGUAGCUUGCUACAGAUGACGACCGGCGCACGGGUGCGUAACGCGUAUAGAACCUACCUUUUACAGGGGAAUAGCCUUUAGAAAUGAAGAUUAAUGCUCCAUAGUAUUGCGAUUUGGCAUCGGGUUGUAAUUAAAGAUUUAUUGGUAAAAGAUGGCUAUGCGUCCUAUUAGUUAGUUGGUAAGGUAACGGCUUACCAAGACAGCGAUAGGUAGGGGUCCUGAGAGGGAGAUC